CAGUGUCUUUAACACAAAACUGCUCAGGGGGAAGCAUCAAAGGCAGCAGGAAGCAUAAGGCCUGCCUAGCUCUGUCCCCGUGUCCAUUCUAUGUCCCCAGCUCGAUGUCCCCAACUCCGUGUCCUCGGCUCCACCCAGUGUCCUCGCCUCCGACCCGUGUCCUCAGCUGUGUCCUCUGUCCUCUGCUCCAACAGAGCCGGCAGCUGUGAGCUGAUUGCGCCCGCUCGUUAUGCAGCCUGUAUCGCUAAUGGCCUGUGACAAAGGCACACGGCUUCCAGGCCUCACCCCCGAGAGCCAAUUAAACACACACACUCCCUUCCUGUUUGCAGCGCAUUACAAUGAAAUUAAACUGAAUUUCAAAAUCA